ACUGAACGAAAAAACUGGGAAAAGCUGCGCAGCCUUUCACAAGACCCCACCCCUCCCUGAUCGUUCAUUUUCUUUCAGCAAAACAACAGCCCUUGAAACUUGAUUUUCUUCAACCAAGACACAAGAGAAGCCAAGAUCCGCCAGUAACCACCCCGAACGACUCCAUAUACUCACUCCAUCAUCCUCGUUGCCAGCUGCCCAUCAACGCCUAGCUCCCCAACCCAUCUCGGCAGCUUUGACCCGCCGGACAGACCCAAAAUCCAGCGCCCAGCCUUCAACCAGUCGUUGUCCGUCGCCAGCAACAGAAACACCACGCCAAACGACCACCCUCCAUAGCCACCCAUGAAACAGAACAACUAGUAAGUUUUAUCAACUCAAGCUCGUUUAGCAUCUCUUUUCGGUGAGCUUCGAGUUCGUCGGAGGUCGUUACCCGAGUUUUCGAUUCAGUCAUACGUCUAGGUACUAUCGUUGGUUUCUGGUUUGAGCUCCGUCCAUAGUUUAUCGGAUUGAGGUCUAUUGCUGAACAUUGUUAUUGAUUAAUUUAUAGUGAUCCUUCAUUGUGUAUUUUGAUAUAGAAUGACGUUUUUGCUCGAUUUCUAGUUUACACAAUGGCGUGUGUGUGCUGUUUUAGUUUGGUUCUAUUUUGUCGCAAUGUUAGUGACUACUUAUAAUGUUGUAGAAACGGGCAUUUAGGCUCAAUGAUUAUUGCCUAUCUUGAAAUGUAUAUUGCUAUACCAUUAUACCUAGAAUUUGAAAGUGAAGAUGGCUUGGUAAGUUUGGCUUUGAUACGGUCGUUUUCACGGAUGAGGUCUCAUUUGUGUUUGGGAGUGUCAAAGCAAGAAGGGACAUCAGAUGAUACUAUACAAGCUGUUGCUGAAGCUUUAAAAAUUUCUUCGUUUCUUAAGAUUUCGGAAAUCACAGAGUUUUCGAGGCCUGAGGAAGUUAUAGAGCAAAUAGAUGUCAGGACAAUUGUUGUAUCCCUAUUGGAAUAUAGUGUCAAGCUUGAAGAUGUGGAGUCCUUCUUUGGUCAGCAUGGCAUGGUUAAUAGUGUGAGACUGCCUCGUCAUGUAGCUGACAAAAGGAUGUUUUGUGGCACUGCUCUGGUUGAGUUCGCCAGUGAGGAAGUAUGCUUUAUUCUGUUUUUUUUACAAGUAAUUCAUAUCGUUAGUAUUCUUCUGGAUACGCUCUUAAUAUACCAUCGUGGCUAUGGGUACGGUUCCCGUGACAUAGUUAUGAUACCUAAUUUCCAAACUCGGGUGCGCAUUUAUGUGACCCAAAUUCAAAUUUUGACAACGUUAAAUAAAAUGUGUCGUGGACCGCGAGUGCAUUUAUGUGACGUAGUUCAAGACGCGUUUUAGAUAAUGUUGAAUCUUUCUCCUAAUAAAUAAUUAAACAAAAGCGGUUAAAAGUUAAAAAUUGCACAUAGGUUCAUAAUUAUUUAAAAUCAGAUAAUAAGCCAAUAAUAACAGUUGAGCGACCAUGCUAGAACCACAGAACUCGGGAAUGCCUAACACCUUCUCCCGGGUUAACAGAAUUCCUUACCUGGAUUUCUGUGUUCGUAGACUGUAAUACAGAGUUAAUAUUUUCCUCGAUUUGGGAUUUGAACCGGUGACUUAGGACACCAUAAAAUUCUCCCAUGUGACCACUCUGAAUUUCAAAUAAAUAAUCCUGUUUGGAUUGUCACUUAAAUUGGAAAAAACUCCCCUAUACACCCUUUCGGGGGUGUAGGUAAAAAGGAGGUGUGACAGCUCUGGCGACUCUACUGGGGAAAAGAACCUAGAACUUCUGGUUCAGGGUUCGAAAUUCGAGCUUAGAUGAAAUGUUAUAUUUGACUUUAUCUAUUAUCUGAUUUUAUUACAUGUUUGGGCCUAAUGUGCUAAAUGUUGCUUUUACCGCUUUGAUAUUAUCUGAACUGUAUAUAAACUAUUACGAAACCCUUCUCUUCUCAUCUUCAGAGAUGUGCUCGCUAGUCGAGACUCCCAAUUCUGUUAGUGUCAUACCUUGAAAUAAGAAAGAGGCUCAGACAAGUUACUAAGUCGGAUGUCCUUUUGGUUCCUGGUACGUAGCCCCCUCCUCGACUCGAGUUGUCCGCUCGGGUACACAAGUCUAGAACGAAUGCCAAGGUUUUGAACCUAGAAUAACUCAACUUCAUGUCGGAUCCCUAGUUGGAACGCUUGUUUGCAUCAUGUGCACUUGACUUAGGGGACUCAACACAGGGGUUGGGUCCGUCUAGGACAGGUAUACCCCAAAAAAAUAAAAGAUCAUCGUGAUGCAUCUUAUGUGCUACAUGCUGCAUUUAUUCAAGGGUAAAAGGGUCAUUUGGAGGACCAAUAUUAGUUGAGGGCAAAUGAAAAAAAAUAAAAAAAGAGAAGAAAAAUAGAGGGUGAAGUGUGAAGAUGAAGAAAGUGGGGCCCAGUUAUGAUUUUCUUUCACACUUUUUCAAGCAAAAAUUGAAAAUGAAACUUCAAAAAGAUUUUGCAAUUUUUAUCAUUUUUCAAAAAUAAAAAAAAAUCAAAAAAAGGGAAAAAGAAAAUCCAAAAAGAUUUUAUAUAUUUCAUCAUAUUUCGAAAAAUAAAGAGAAAAAAAUGUGUUUUCUAUGCGUCAGUUAUUUUUUUUUAAAUUAUUCUCGCCCGUAUCCAAUCUGCCCGAACUACGCAAACCUGAUUCUCGUCUUCCGGGGCGUGAUACGUAUGCAACUCACAUAGGGUCCAGUCUUCCUAGUAAAUCUUAGGUUCUUGGCUUUGCAGGGUGUUAGCCAAAUUUUGCACUUCUAGCGACCUUUUGGCCAAAUAAGCCAUUUUGCAAAAAUAGCCUCAAUCAUGUCUUGCAUGUGUCGCGGGGAAUGUUAUUGUCUCACAUAGUGUUGGUUUAAGUUUUCUCAUACAGGUGUGGAUCUAUUUACCGGAGUUUGAGCAUGACAGAU
rnacentral:lncRNA from 1 species